rnacentral:tRNA from 1 species
GCCGCCAUGGCGGAAUUGGUAGACGCGAUGGAUUUAAAAUCCAUUGGAUGGUAACGUCCGUGCCGGUUCGAUUCCGGCUGGCGGUA